UACAGAGGAGCCAAGCGUUGUCCGGAUUGACUGGGCGUAAAGCGCACGCAGGCGGUCGGGCGCGUGGGGUGUGAAAUCUGGCCGCUUAACGGCCAGGCGCCAUCCCAUACGGCUCGACUGGAGUGAUGCAGAGGUCGAUGGAAUUGCCGGUGUAGUGGUGAAAUGCGUAGAGAUCGGCAGGAACACCCAGGGGGAAACCAGUCGACUGGGCAUCUACUGACGCUGAGGUGCGAAAGCGUGGGGAGCGAACAGG
rnacentral:rRNA from 1 species